rnacentral:rRNA from 1 species
UACGGAGGGUGCAAACGUUGCUCGGAAUCAUUGGGCGUAAAGCGCACGUAGGCGGACUGUUAAGUCGGAUGUGAAAGCCCUCAGCUUAACUGAGGAAGUGCAUUCGAAACUGGCAGUCUUGAGUAUGGAAGAGGGUCGCGGAAUUCCCGGUGUAGAGGUGAAAUUCGUAGAUAUCGGGAGGAACACCGGUGGCGAAGGCGGGUCUCUGGGCCGAUACUGACGCUGAGGAGCGAAAGCGUGGGGAGCGAACAGG